rnacentral:rRNA from 1 species
GAUGAACGCUGACAGAAUGCUUAACACAUGCAAGUCAACUUGAACUUCGGUUUGGGUGGCGGACGGGUGAGUAACGCGUAAAGAACUUGCCUCACAGAUAGGGACAACAUUUGGAAACGAAUGCUAAUACCUGAUAUUGUGAUUAUAUGGCAUCGUAUAAUUAUGAAAGCUAUAUGCGCUGUGAGAGAGCUUUGCGUCCCAUUAGCUAGUUGGAGAGGUAACGGCUCACCAAGGCGAUGAUGGGUAGCCGGCCUGAGAGGGUGAUCGGCCACAAGGGGACUGAGACACGGCCCUUACUCCUACGGGAGGCAGCAGUGGGGAAUAUUGGACAAUGGACCAAGAGUCUGAUCCAGCAAUUCUGUGUGCACGAUGAAGUUUUUCGGAAUGUAAAGUGCUUUCAGUUGGGAAGAAAAAAAUGACGGUACCAACAGAAGAAGUGACGGCUAAAUACGUG